GAAGAUGAUCAGUAACUUGUUGGAUUGGAGAUGAGUCAAAAAGUUUAUAAAGUAAUAUUAUUUCUUACUUGUUGACGGCGAUAUUAGUAAAGUCAUAGUCGUAUAUUAGAAUUAGGCUGUCAUAAUGUGUUUGUGAUGAAAGUAAGAUAAUAAAAUUUAGACUUAAUUCUAAAGUUAAUAGCAAAAGCAAAUAAAAACUCCAAAAGCGAGCAAAAAUAUACCGAAACAAAA